rnacentral:lncRNA from 1 species
UUUGGUGGGUGUGUGGGUCGCGAACAGAGGGCAGGGAAGGAGAAAACCCUUCUCCUUCAAUUGAACUCAAGAAUUCAGCAACUAGUGAUGGUUUUGAACACAAAAUCGAAUGCAUGAGUCCAAGUAAUCUCUAAUCUAAGUGCAUUGAACAUAGGUGGUAUGGUGGAGUCAUGUCAACAUGAACACAAGCAUGGGAGCGCCACAGGUGGAAGGUAAACACGGAAGCUAUGUACGAAUUUGGAUGCACGAGGUAAGUAAAUUCUCGGACACCCUCUUUAGUAGAAAAAGAGAUUUAUUUGUAUGAUAAUUGUUAGAAGUUAAGUUGAAAUGUGUUGUUGAUGAUAAUAUCAAGUAAGUCGUAAUAAGUAAGUGAUUUUCCGGAAUCACUUCUUAGUUUAUUUAAGCGAGGUUAUGUGCUAGUUAUUUAAGUAUGAUAAUCGGAGUCUAAUAAGGUUUGGUUAUAUAGAAGUGAAGGUUUCCGUUAAGUAGACCAAACGGGUCAAAAUAAAGUAAAACGCAACCCGGAUAACGGGAGCGUAAACUAUAUGAAUUAUGGAUCGGGGUAAUGGAUUACAACUUAGAUAUGUUAAGAAAUGAACCCCAAGCGAUUAAAAUGAGCUUGGAUAGGUUGGAUGUAAAAUUGGUGAAAAAUUAACGUGCAGAGCUGACAUGGCCGGGUGAACACUUGACACGGCCGGGUGAAGGUUCUGUGAAAAAUAUAUGUUUACUUGACAAGGCCGGGUGGACACUUGACACGGCCGGGUGAAGGGGCUGAAAAAGAAAAAGAAAAAAAAUAUAAUUCUUGUGUUUAAUUCUUUUGUUCAAAUGCUUUGAUUUCAAUUCGUUUGAAUGAAAUUGUAUGAUAAGUAAGGAUGCAAUUUAGACCUCGGAGGUGUAAGGAAAUUUUACUAAUAAAGUUCAACUACGAAUAGUUGAUUUAAAUGAAUGACUUUAACGUAUACCGGGAAUCGGCUUCAUAAACUCAUUGUACGGAACUCCGGAUAAUGUAAAAGUGUUAUAUUUAUAACGUUCAUGUGAGUCUUGAGUAUAAAUAUAUGAGUUGUUUGUUAAAAACAUGAACGGGUCGAAUAAUUCGUAAUUGAAUAUUAAGCCGAAAGCAUAUAAGUUAAGAAUUCCCUUAGUCCAGAUGUUAGACAUUGAGUCCAUAUAAAAGAGGACCAAAUUACGGCCAUGUGGAAAGAAACGGGAGGUUAAACGGGUGGUCGGUUUGAAAGAUAUGCAUGUUUUUGUAUAUUAUAUGUUGAAAAUUAUAGUUGGGCGAAUGCAGCAACAAGAAAAUAACUUUCUUUCGAAACCAGGUCGUCGCGCUACGCGACCGUGAUCUGAUCUUAACGUCGCGUCACGCGACCUUUGUCGCGGCCCGCGACAGAAAUGGAGCAAGCUCUCGCGGCCCGCGAGAGCUGAUUUAGUUGGCAACUUGUUUGAAAUUGUUGUUUCAACCAUGGAACUUGUUUUAAUUGGUUUUCAAGGCCCCAUAACUAACGAUUAAGAUGGUUUUUGAAUAUAAGUAAAUAUUAUGGGUCUCCGGACAGUAUUAGGAUGGAUUUACCUUCAUGUUAGUGAAGGAAAUCUAUAGGCGAACGUGUUUAGGAACGAGUAAGUAUGUAUGUCUAUAUGUAUAAAACUUAUAUUAUGGAAAGCCGCGAACAUGACAUGUUAGUAUAAGUGGAUAAGAAUAAAAGUGGUAAGCAAGAACUCGUAGGUUUGUAUGCGUGAACGAAUGUAUGUAAGUAUAUAGAUGUAUAUGAUCGUAUGUAGGAAUGUAUGCAUGAAUGAAUGUAAGUUGCCAUGGAUGUACGUAGGAAUGGUUUCAAUACGAUUGAGUAUUGAUGAUUACUAAUGAUGUGCCAUGAGAUUUGAAAUGUAAUGCAGGUAUUAGAUUGUCGGGUUCAUGAGGAAUGGAAGCCGAACUUAGACAAUGAAUUUCAAAGGACGAUCGAAUGAAUCCAAGUUCAUAUUGUGGAAUGUUAUAAGAUUUUCAAAUUUUAUAGUUUAAUGUUGUAUAGUGAUGUCAAUGAUUAACGGAUAAGUUAUAUAUGAUGUCCACAGGUACCACAAGGAUUUCCUCUAUCGCUAACAAAGAUAAGCUAACGUAGAUUGAGUCGAGAUGCAAGGAUUGUACGGAAAGGACGGUCACAUAGUUGAAUUAUGUAACAUUCGAAGUGUUAACUAAACGUGAAUAUAGUAAAUUCCUUCUAGUGAAUGUUUAAUAUUUUUUUGUAACUGAGUCUUCACGUAAGGCUGGUAAUGAAUAAAGAAAGAAAUUUUA